rnacentral:piRNA from 1 species
UAAACAGUACCACCCUGUUGUGGAAGCC